GCUCAACUGAGGAAUUGCUUUGGAAACUGGAUGACUUGAGUGCAGUAGAGGAAAGUGGAACUCCAUGUGUAGCGGUGAAAUGCGUAGAUAUAUGGAAGAACACCAGUGGCGAAGGCGGCUUUCUGGACUGUAACUGACGUUGAGGCUCGAAAGUGUGGGUAGCAAACAGGAUUAGAUACCCUGGUAGUCCACACCGUAAACGAUGAGUGCUAGGUGUUUGAGGGUUUCCGCCCUUAAGUGCCGCAGCUAACGCAUUAAGCACUCCGCCUGGGGAGUACGACCGCAAGGUUGAAACUCAAAGAAAUUGACGGGGACCCGCACAAGCGGUGGAGCAUGUGGUUUAAUUCGAAGCAACGCGAAGAACCUUACCAGGUCUUGACAUCCCUUGACAACUCCAGAGAUGGAGCGUUCCCUUCGGGGACAAGGUGACAGGUGGUGCAUGGUUGUCGUCAGCUCGUGUCGUGAGAUGUUGGGUUAAGUCCCGCAACGAGCGCAACCCUUAUUACUAGUUGCCAGCAUUCAGUUGGGCACUCUAGUGAGACUGCCGGUGACAAACCGGAGGAAGGUGGGGAUGACGUCAAAUCAUCAUGCCCCUUAUGACCUGGGCUACACACGUGCUACAAUGGCGUAUACAACG
rnacentral:rRNA from 1 species